CCCGGUGCGGAGCGACGCAUGACGCCGCCACCUGCCCCUUUCGCAAAUUUCGAUGUCGUGCCUGCAAAAAGAUGGGACACCUGGCAAGGGUCUGCAGAACAACGCCACGUUCGGUGCACUCUCUUGAAGAGAGCACUGGCUUAGAAGACUCCGGUGACUGGGACGAUAAAAGUGGUCUUUAGGUUCCCCUGUACCCAUCGAUGGUGCACGAGAGACGUCUGACGCCGAGCAAGUCGAUGAGCAGGCAGACGAUGCCAACAAA
rnacentral:lncRNA from 1 species